CCCAUAUCUAAUUUUAACUUUCUUCCUAUUGUGGAUGAGAAAAAAUUGGAAAAAAGCCUGCAGCAGAGCCAAAGGAACAAGAUCUGCAGAACUGUCAAUCAAGGAAAGCAUUCUGAAUGGAAUGGUGACCAGGAAAGACAGUUGAAGAAAGGAACAGCCAAACUAAGAGAGAGGGUCUCUUGCUCUUGAGACAAGAAAGAGUAAGGACUGAAAAGACCCUACUCUCACUGAUUUCUCCCUACAAGACUCAAGAGACUAAAUUCAAAACCCUAUAAUAUUUAAGACUAUUUUCAUGUCUUUGGGAAAUUCCUGAAUUUCAGAUGAGGAGGAGAAAGUUCUCUGAAAGAUUUCUAAAUCCAGCUUUUAUUGUGAACAAUUCAAAUGGAAUUGGCUAGAGCUAUCCAGCUAUGGGGAAUUUGGAAGGAGCUGGAGAGUAUAACCAUACUCAUGACUCCAAAAUAUUUGUUAAACAUUUACCUGCACAUCCUUAGAAGGGAAGACCCUAAGAACUGCAGAAAAUCAAAGUCUUUCAUCAUAUUAAUGACAAUGUUUGUACUCAGUAUUGAUAUGAAAUAAAGUUUGCUAAGCAAUGUGAAAAAUAUGUGUUCCAUACAUGGCAACAGACAGUGCAAAGACAUGGUGACAGGAGAUGCAAAGAACAUCAAGAAAUCCAAUUUGGUUGGACUGGAGAGUUUAGUAAAAAUAUUGGAAAAGGUAGGUUACAGCCAAGUUGUGGAAAGCUUUAAAUGUCAAAAAGAGGAGUUUAUAUUUUAACCUAUAGGCAGCAAUGAGUCAAUGGAAUUAUGAAAUAAGGAAAUCCUGUAGAUAGGUUUAUAUUAAAGAAAAUUACUCUACCAGCUUUGGGGACAAAUUAAAGAACACACACACAGAGAAAGCAGGGAGACCAAUUACUGCACAAGACUAUUUCAAUAAUCCAAUAAGAGGUGACAAAAGCAUGAAAUGAGAUGAUGACCAUGUGAGCAAGAAAAAGGCACAGAUAUGAGGAGUGCAGGAGUAAAAAUUAGGAAAUUUGACAACUGACUGGAUAGGUAUGUGAGGGAUUGUGAAAAGUCAAGGAUAAAUUAAAGUUAAAAAUCUGGCCAACUAGAUGGUGGUGUCCUCAGAGAAGUUAGAAAAGUUCACAAGAAAGGUGAAUUUAGAAACAAAACUUUGAAUCCUACUUUAUAGCAUUAGAUAUG
rnacentral:lncRNA from 1 species